rnacentral:lncRNA from 1 species
CAGCCUUCAUUCUGCAACUCCAGCCACCCACCUGUGCCAACGUCAAGCCAGUUGGGAUUGCCUUGCUCAUGUGCCUCCUCCCAUCUGCUUUUUUCACCGUGUGUCUACAGCCUUAGAAAUAAGGACUCUUAGACAGCUGUCUUUAUGUUCCCAAGAAGUAUCUGUCUUUAAGCAAAUCUAGUCUGCAAAUUUUGGAUUUAUUCAAAAGCUUAAAUUAGGGUUUUUUUUUAAUAAACCUUGAAUUUCCCAAUUGAUUUACUGUAGGAUUUUUUGAGAGAACAAAUUCCCCAGAGAUUUAAAACUAGUCAGUUCACAGAAAAUCAGCUUAACUCAACAAAUGCUAAAUUGUGUACUAUGCUCAGAGCACUUUGUAAUGGGAAAUAGAAGAGCAGGACAAGGCCCUUCCCCUCAAGUCGCCUUGUCUGGCUGGGAAGAUGAGACAUGUGAAAUAGGUAAAUAACAGUAUGAGACAAUACUAUACGUGAUCAGUACGUGAGUGGCAGGGAUAGUAAAGUCUAUAAUGAGGCCUUCAGAAUAGGGCAAGGCAAUGAUAAGGGUGUAGCCCUUGAUAGCUUACCGAGUGCUUUCAUAUCUAUUAUCUUGUGUACAUAUGUGUAGGGUGGGGGAAAGAUGGGGGGAAAUGAAGAUUGAGAGAAAUCAUUCAGCUCUCCAAAUGGCAGAUCCUGGCUUGAAUCGAGGAAUUCUGAUGCUACAGGUUUACUUAGAGUCAUUGAGAGUUAUAUGCCUUCGGGCCACCUGACAGAGUGAAGCAUACUGCUUUCUGACUAGUAUUAAGACUUGUUAAUGUAGACUGCGUGUCCAAAAACCACCCUGCUGGAACAUGCUAGUUUACCAUGGCAAAGCUCUGUUUUGGGAAUAACGCCUUGCUGGAGACCUUUGAGAUUUGAAAUUUGGAAUGGAAAGGGCUCAAGAGAUUAUUAUUAAAAUAGAAUGGUUUUAGGGAAGACUGUUGCCGGAUGACAAGGCUGUCACUAUUGUUCUGUACUACCUGACAUUAUGGGACCAGGCCAGCCAGCUUCAACCUGUGUUCAUCUAGCACCUAGGACCCAACUUGAUGGGAGGAGCGACCCCAAAGUACUUCAGACCCAGAACCAGCUGCAGUUUAAUAGGAAUGUUCCUACACAUUCAAGCAACUUGGCGAUCCGAUAUUCUUGCCCACAUGCCAUUAGAAUUGAAAAACUGAAGCACUCAUACAAUGAAUCAUACCAUUGUAAAGAUGCAGAUUGUAGAGUUGGUCCUGACCUAGGCAGUUCUGUUUCAUUUUCCGUCAUAUCCCAAGAGAGACUUAGCUAUGCUGUCCACCUAGCCAGAAGAGAUGUGAAACGAAGACAAUUUGAAAAACAUAUAAAAGAACAUCAUCUCAGAAGUCAGCCUCAAAGCUCUCAGAAGUGUGGACAUACUAAGUAUAAAAUACCCGACCACAGGGUGGAAAGGAAGGAAUCAAAGAGUCAAGCAGCCUGUCAGUGCAGCCACCAGCCAUCCAAAGUAGAAAUCUCCAGCUCCGGUGCCAAAGUAUACCUUUACUCAUCUCAUCCAGGCCAGUCAGAUCUUACUGUGCCAAAUUCGCCACCCACCCAUGAUCCGGGACUUCAGCCUCAUCCCAGGAUAGGUGACCACAAAAACAUAAGUGAACAGAAAAGCCUGCUAGAAGUCCAGCGACUCCAGAAAGAACUGAGUAGUUGUAUCCACAAAAUUGAAGAGGUAACUAAAAAAGGUGAGAAAAAUUAGAUUCUUUACUUCGACCUAAGGCUGUGAGUAUGGGGUAGUUUAAAUGCAUUCCUUGAGG